GCAUCGGUGAUUCAGUGGUAGAAUGCUCGCCUGCCACGCGGUCGGCCCGGGUUCGAUUCCCGGCCGAUGCA
rnacentral:tRNA from 1 species